rnacentral:rRNA from 1 species
CCAGACUCCUACGGGAGGCAGCAGUGAGGAAUAUUGGUCAAUGGACGAGAGUCUGAACCAGCCAAGUAGCGUGAAGGAUGACUGCCCUAUGGGUUGUAAACUUCUUUUAUAUGGGAAUAAAACGUUCCACGUGUGGGAUUUUGUAUGUACCAUAUGAAUAAGGAUCGGCUAACUCCGUGCCAGCAGCCGCGGUAAUACGGAGGAUCCGAGCGUUAUCCGGAUUUAUUGGGUUUAAAGGGUGCGUAGGCGGUCCGUUAAGACAGGGGUAAAAUUGCGGGGCUCAACCCCGUCGAGCCGUUGAAACUGGCAGACUUGAGUUGGCGAGAAGUACGCGGAAUGCGCGGUGUAGCGGUGAAAUGCAUAGAUAUCGCGCAGAACUCCGAUUGCGAAGGCAGCGUACCGGCGCCAGACUGACGCUGAGGCACGAAAGCGUGGGGAUCGAACAGGAUUAGAUACCCGAGUA